rnacentral:rRNA from 1 species
UAUCUCUGUAGAGUCUGCAUAUCAAUAAGCGGAGGAAAAGAAACUAACUAGGAUUCCCUUAGUAACGGCGAGUGAAGCGGGAAGAGCUCAAAUUUGAAAUCUUCAAGGUUUACCUUGACGAAUUGUAGUUUAAAGAAGUGUUUUCUGUUGAAGUUUCGGUAAAAGUUCUUUGGAAUAGGACAUCAUAGAGGGUGAGAAUCCCGUAUUUGACCAUUAUUUUCAGCUGUGUGAUACACUUUCAAAGAGUCGGAUUGUUUGGGAAUGCAGUCCAAAAUGGGUGGUAAAUUUCAUCUAAAGCUAAAUAUUGGCGAGAGACCGAUAGCGAACAAGUACCGUGAGGGAAAGAUGAAAAGAACUUUGAAAAGAGAGUUAAACAGUACGUGAAAUUGUCAAAAGGGAAGCGUUUGACACCAGUGUUGUUUUUCCGAAAAUCAAUUACGAAUGGCUUGAUUCUGUGUUGUAUUGACCUUAUCAGCUUUCUGCACUUUUUUCGAGUCUUUCUUAAUGCACUUUUCGGUUAACAAGUCAACAUCAAUUUCUUUUGUUGUAAAAGAGUAUUCGGAAGGUGGCUUUCUUUUCGGAGAAAGUGUUUAUAGCCCUAUACUUCUACAAUCGGAGAGAUUGAGGUCUGCAGCGUAGAUCCUUCGGGGUUAGAUACACUUGUGCUAAGUUGUAGCUUUUCAUAGACAACUUGUUGACUAUGUUCAGUCAUGCGGCUUACUCGCUUGUGCUAUUUUACCUACGCUUAGGAUGUUGAAGAUGUAGCACAUCAU